rnacentral:lncRNA from 1 species
UGAAAUUCACAAUCCAACAUUAUUAUUAGGCUUUUCAGUCACAAUGACACCAGUACCAUUCAUUACCAAAGAAAGUUGAAAAACAUUAUAAUCCAGUUUCAAUGCUCAAGACACCAAGAAGAAACUAAACACUGUCCUUUGAAUGACCCUCUAUAAAUAGCUAACAGACCCCUCACAAGGGUGCAAUAUGAUGAUAAAGAAGGAGCUACUCUUUCUUGGUGUAGUUUCUGACAACAAAGGCUAAGCCCAAUAUCAGGAGAGGCACCAGGAAUUGCAAAAUCUUGAUCACAAAUUCUGAAGUCUUGUCCGGAUUGUACUGAGACUGCUGAGGUGGAACAUAGGUGCGCUUUAGGGGAACAGUGGAUGGAUCAAUCUCACCAAUGUAGUAUUUGUCCAUCAUUUCUCUAGCAGAAUCACUGUGUCCCACAUCUUCAAAAUCAUUAGUUGCAUCUUUCCCUGUAAUCGAUACAGUACAAUAUAAUCAAUAUGGUUAUCCUCAGUGAUUUAGUAACAUACCCUUUUCGAAUGGAUAUAAGCAUACCUGUUGCAGACAACAAAACCUCAUCACCUCCAGGAUGAUCCUCCAUAAAAGGGGAGACAUCGUACACCUAACAUGGUUGAAGAACAAAUUUUCGUCAAGAGGCAUAGCUAACAUUAACAUUAUCACAUACUAAAACUAUGUAGUAAAAUCUAUGUCUUUGGCCCAAUAGCAACCAUUCAGGCCAAUAUACACGUUGCUCUGCAUUUUUCAGGGAAUUAGAAUAGCCUCACAAUUGGCCAUCACAAUAUCAGGCAUUGUUUAAAAUAGUGAAAGUGGUUUUCCUUCUGCUAGAUUUUUAACUAGCUAAUGUCUUGUAGAAAGAUGGGUUAGGGGAAGGCAAACAUUAAAACGCAUCACAAUGUGAAUACAAUAGCUAGUGAAAGCAUCUAAGCCAUAUAAAAGGAAGAUUGAGGAAGACCACCUCUCAGAGCAUAUUUGACUAACAUCUUGCUAUUUGACCAACACUCCCCAUUAUGUUUCGAAGUCACAGGGGAACAGAAGGAUAAUGAAUCAAACUGUGAAAAGGAAGAGUAUGGCACAUAAAUUAAUAACCCAUUAUAGGAAGAAGGGUUUUAUGAAGGUUACAAGUUAAUCCUUAUUUUCCUCCCUGCAUUUUAAAAGGAUGCCAAUAAGAAGGGAGAUUAACUUAAAACUCCCCUUCCCAAGUCCCACAUGGCAUCAAACAUCAGAUAGAUCUCAAGAUCUGCAGGUAAGUUCAAUGAUUCAAAUAUUUCAUGUAUCGACUGACAUUCAAUUUGGAUAAACCCCACAAAAUACAAAUGCAACAAAAGAAACUCAUUGUAUUAAUAUUUAUUUCUAAUAUUCAUUCUUCUUAAACGUUGGGGUGUGCUUAUUUUUUCAUUUGUUUGCGAUACUGCUCGCUUAUCAAAGGUAUGGAAUCAAAUUAACCAUAUUUUAUGUGACAGUUAAGAUAUUAGUACAUAUGACUAAAGCCGGUACACGACUAGUAAUGCACGUAAAGGAUGAUCAACUUCUGAUGAUAAUUUGUGUCAACCAGAUGUUAUAUUUUUCUACUCAACUACUAUCUCGCAUGCAAAAUUACUAGUGUUUGGAAAGGAUACUAUAUAACAUAACACAACGACUCGUUUUAUUAUUUGGUCAUCUAUGAGUAAGAGGCAAAGUUUAAAUUGCAGCAUCUAUAGAACCGUUCAGAUUUGAAUAAUUCAAUAUGCUAAAAUAAAAUCCAAACUUAAGGUGGUUGUAGACAAACAAAGCAUGUCAUGCAGGCAAUAUAUCAUAUAAAGUUGAAAUGUUGAUAUAUAUGAAAAUGAAACAAUUAUUAUUCAGUUAAACGUGUAACAUCAAAUAAGAUGCAAAGAAAAGACCUAAAAAAUGUAAUCUGUCUACAAGUAGAGAAGAACAGGACCACCAUCAUUUGUUAACCACACUGAUCUGGACAUAGCAUAAACAAACCUCAACAACAUUCAAUCUUAAAAAUAGGAAACUAUAUAGCAGAUAAAAUUGUUCAAAAGAAAGAUAAAACAUGUUCACUACAAUAAGGAACACUCUGCAACAUGCAAUGCACAAGAUCCAGGAAAUAUACGUAACAUGCAUGAUCCCAAAAACUUGAACUUCAUCUUCAACAAAAAAUUAAAAUCAAAAGAAGCAUUUAAUUAGCAUAAUCACAAUUUUGAUUGUGUUUCAUCAGAGUCUAUAAUUCCAAAGAAUAAUCAAUCACUCAUGAAAAAAAAAAAAGAACUUUUUGCGAAAAAAAAUACCUUUCCAGAAAGAAUAAGCCAGCAAUCUUUGGUCUUGUUGUGCUUUGACACAUCAUCGAAAGUGUGAAGCUUUGGAUCUGAAGCCAUUUUCUUUCACUGCCACAAAAUCAAAGACCCAGAAAAAUUCAAGUCAAACCCACAAAUUAAUUUUAUCUGAAUAAGAAAAAAAAGAUCUAAAGAAUCAAGAAAAAGGGGAACAAGCAUGCAUCACAUCAAAUCAACUUCUUCAAAAAGAGAAUAAAGAAGAACGUGAAAAAGUGUGAAUUUUGAUUAUUGAUGAAAAAUUGGUAGAGACGAAUCGAUGCAAAGGAAAAGGAGAAGAUUUUGAAGGGAAAAAACAAGAGGGAAUUACCACUUCCGGUCCUUGGGAGAUUCUGAGUGAUGAGUUGUGUUGUGU